rnacentral:rRNA from 1 species
ACGCUGGCGGCGUGCUUAACACAUGCAAGUCGAACGAUGAAGCCUAGCUUGCUAGGUGGAUUAGUGGCGAACGGGUGAGUAAUACGUGAGUAACCUACCUUUAACUCUGGGAUAAGCCUGGGAAACUGGGUCUAAUACCGGAUACGACCAAUCUCCGCAUGGGGUGUUGGUGGAAAGCGUUAUGUAGUGGUUAUAGAUGGGCUCACGGCCUAUCAGCUUGUUGGUGAGGUAACGGCUCACCAAGGCGACGACGGGUAGCCGGCCUGAGAGGGUGACCGGCCACACUGGGACUGAGACACGGCCCAGACUCCUACGGGAGGCAGCAGUGGGGAAUAUUGCACAAUGGGCGCAAGCCUGAUGCAGCGACGCCGCGUGAGGGAUGACGGCCUUCGGGUUGUAAACCUCUGUUAGCAGGGAAGAAGAGAGAUUGACGGUACCUGCAGAGAAAGCGCCGGCUAACUACGUGCCAGCGGCCGGGUAAUACGUAGGGCGCGAGCGUUGUCCGGAAUUAUUGGGCGUAAAGAGCUUGUAGGCGGUUUGUCGCGUCUGCUGUGAAAGGCCGGAGCUUAACUCCGUGUAUUGCAGUGGGUACGGGCAGACUAGAGUGCAGUAGGGGAGACUGGAAUUCCUGGUGUAGCGGUGGAAUGCGCAGAUAUCAGGAGGAACACCGAUGGCGAAGGCAGGUCUCUGGGCUGUAACUGACGCUGAGAAGCGAAAGCAUGGGGAGCGAACAGGAUUAGAUACCCUGGUAGUCCAUGCCGUAAACGUUGGGCACUAGGUGUGGGGGACAUUCCACGUUUUCCGCGCCGUAGCUAACGCAUUAAGUGCCCCGCCUGGGGAGUACGGCCGCAAGGCUAAAACUCAAAGAAAUUGACGGGGGCCCGCACAAGCGGCGGAGCAUGCGGAUUA